rnacentral:rRNA from 1 species
GAGGAAUAUUGCGCAAUGGGGGAAACCCUGACGCAGCGACGCCGCGUGGGUGAUGAAGGCCUUCGGGUUGUAAAGCCCUGUCAGGUGGGAAGAAGUGCAUCAUGGCUAAUAUCCAUGGUGUUUGACGGUACCACCAAAGGAAGCACCGGCUAACUCCGUGCCAGCAGCCGCGGUAAUACGGAGGGUGCAAGCGUUGUUCGGAUUUACUGGGCGUAAAGGGCGCGUAGGCGGUCUUAUAAGCCAGAUGUGAAAGCCCACGGCUCAACCGUGGAAGUGCAUCUGGAACUGUGAGACUUGAGUAUGGGAGAGGAAAGUGGAAUUCCCGGUGUAGAGGUGAAAUUCGUAGAUAUCGGGAGGAAUACCGGUGGCGAAGGCGACUUUCUGGACCAAUACUGACGCUGAGGCGCGAAAGCGUGGGUAGCAAAC